AACGCAUAUUGCGCUCUCCGGCAUUCCGGAGAGCAUGCCUGUUUGAGUAUUGGCCUAAAUGAGAGUCUUCCUUUAAAGAUAUAAAAAAGAACGUUAAGAACCCUCAGUUGAGACUUCUCGACAAUUCAUUGCCGAGUGUUUUAAAAUGCAAUAGUACCGCCACGUUUGCGAACUUGGAGUAAUAUGUGAGCCUGAAAAGGUGACCUCUAUUCUCCUCGGACCACGUAGACCUGUUAAGCGGGAAGUUUUUGAAUGCCGAAUUAUGGGAGACGGUGUUCAAUUGUUCGAGUAACGACGAACGAAAUAAACUCAAUCUCAAAUCAGGUAGGAUUACCCGCUGAACUUAA
rnacentral:misc_RNA from 1 species